UACGGAGGAGGCAAGCGUUAUCCGGAAUUAUUGGGCGUAAAGCGUCCGUAGGUGGCUAGUCAAGUCUGCGGUCAAAGACUGGGGCUUAACCCUGGAAAGGCCGUGGAAACUGACGAGCUAGAGUGCAGUAGGGGUAGAGGGAAUUCCCGGUGUAGCGGUGAAAUGCGUAGAGCUCGGGAAGAACAUCGGUGGCGAAAGCGCUCUACUGGACUGGAACUGACACUCAGGGACGAAAGCGAGGGGAGCGAAUGGG
rnacentral:rRNA from 1 species